rnacentral:rRNA from 1 species
GAUGAACGCUGGCGGCGUGCCUAAUACACGCAAGUCGAGCGAACAGACGAGGAGCUUGCUCCUCUGACGUUAGCGGCGGACGGGUGAGUAACACGUGGAUAACCUACCUAUAAGACUGGGAUAACUUCGGGAAACCGGAGCUAAUACCGGAUAAUAUAUUGAACCGCAUGGUUCAAUAGUGAAAGACGGUUUUGCUGUCACUUAUAGAUGGAUCCGCGCCGCAUUAGCUAGUUGGUAAGGUAACGGCUUACCAAGGCAACGAUGCGUAGCCGACCUGAGAAGGUGAUCGGCCACACUGGAACUGAGACACGGUCCAGACUCCUACGGGAGGCAGCAGUAGGGAAUCUUCCGCAAUGGGCGAAAGCCUGACGGAGCAACGCCGCGUGAGUGAUGAAGGUCUUCGGAUCGUAAAACUCUGUUAUUAGGGAAGAACAAAUGUGUAAGUAACUAUGCACGUCUUGACGGUACCUAAUCAGAAAGCCACGGCUAACUACGUG